rnacentral:tRNA from 1 species
GCUCUCAUAGCUCAGUUGGUAGAGCGCUUCCAUGGUAAGGAAGAGGUCACCAGUUCGAUUCUGGUUGAGAGCUCCA